AUGUGAUCGCUGGAAAUCUUCUGGACGAAUUCAGGUAUUUCAAUAUUAUUCAGAAUGUUGUUUCUAAAGAUAAAAAAAAAGGUAGCGUGGUGAAAUAUACGUUCGAGUACGAGAAGUUGAAUGAGCAAGUUGCAGAUCCAACCUUAUUUAUGCAGAACGAAAUUGAAACCGCAAGACGAGUUGAUGAAUACCUUACGAACAAUAAAAAUUAGUCUAUUUCGGAAAUAAAAAGUUUAAGAUUUAUCGUCGAGCAAUAUUUGUAAGUAAAUAAAUAAAUAAAAAUAUGUAAAUAAAUAAAUGUAAUCUUUGCUCAAAUUUAUAUUUCUUUCUCGCUAAUAUUAAUUAAGAAAUAAAUUAUGUAAUGUUGUUAUAAAAGUAUAUAUUUAUGUAUUCAAUGAUAAAAAUAUAUCCAUUGUAUAUGCAAUAGUCUCGCGGUCGAGAGAGAGAGAGAGAGGGAGAAGAGAAGAGGAGACAGCGGGCGGGAGAAAGAGACGGAGAGAUUGGCGAGUGAAGUGGAGAUUCGGCGUGCCGAGAAGAAGAGAGGGAGAAUUCGAUGGUGAGCUUUCCUUCGUGAGUCUCCUAGUCGUGCCGUACAUCAUUACAGAAAAGAGGAACACUCACGCCGCCGCUGCAAGUCGGAGCGUCACAGAUCUAGGGUUUACUCUUGGAUAUGGUGGAUGGACUUGGUACAUAGGAAACUCUACUGUAAACGUUUUCUCAUACCGGAUGGGGUAUCGAGGAAUUAUAUUUUUGGUGCUUAUACUGGACGGAGCAUGGGGACAGCCCGAUUCACCCUUAUACUGGAUGAUGUAUUGAGGGAUGGUACUUUUGGCGCUCAUACUGGACGGGGUAUGGGGACGACCGAUCAAGAGAACCAAGAUCCAGAUCCCGAUCAAUGAGGGAGUUGUGAAUAGUUAACCACCAGACUCCCUUCAAAGGCUAGUGAAGAUCGUCUUAGAAUACCUAAUUAUUUUACUUUUCAUUUAUUUAUUGAUUUUUUGCUUGUUCUUUUAGAAUGAUCAUUCUUAUAUUCCUGUUGAGUAUUCUCAAUUAUUG